rnacentral:snRNA from 1 species
AGCGCUCCUCGGCUCUCUGAGCUAAGACCAUGUGUAGUAUCUGUUCUUCGUCAUGUAAUUUUUGUUAUGGUCUCCAGUUUGAAACCAACGUGAUUCCCUGUAUUUUUCCCUACUUGGCGGGUGCUAUGAGCUUGCUAAACCCCGUUCAUGGAUCGGCCUAUAUGUUGAUGAACUCAAAUGCGUGUAUUCCUUCUCUA